rnacentral:rRNA from 1 species
UGAGUACGAGAUGCUACGGCAUCGAAGCAGUCUAUGUCAUACUUCCAAGAAAAGCUUGCACUGUCAUAAACAAAGAAUGCCUGUACCAUAACCGACACAGGUGGGUAGGUAGAGUAUACUAAGGGGCGCGAGAUAACUCUCUCUAAGGAACUCGGCAAAAUAACUCCGUAACUUCGGGAGAAGGAGUGCCUUAUUCUUAAGGUUGCAAUAACAAGAUCCAAGCAACUGUUUAUCAAAAACACAGGUCUCCGCUAAGUCGCAAGACGAUGUAUGGGGGCUGACGCCUGCCCAGUGCCAGAAGGUUAAAGAAGUUGGUUAGCUUUUGCGAAGCUGAUAACUGAAGCCCUGGUGAACGGCGGCCGUAACAAUAACGGUCCUAAGGUAGCGAAAUUCCUUGUCGGGUAAGUUCCGACCCGCACGAAAGGCGUAAUGAUUUGGAUACUGUCUCGGAGAGGGGCUCGGUGAAAUAGACUUGUCUGUGAAGAUGCGGACUACCUGCACCAGGACAGAAAGACCCUAUGAAGCUUUACUGUAACUUGAAAUUGAAAUUGGACUUUAUUCGCGCAGUAUAGGUGGGAGGCGUUGAUUGUAAUCUUGCGGGAUUAUUGGAGCCAUCAGUGAGAUACCACUCUUGUAAUGUUAGAUUUCUAACUUUGUAUCAUUAUCUGGUCAAAGAACAGUUUCAGGCGGGCAGUUUGACUGGGGCGGUCGCCUCCUAAACGGUAACGGAGGCGUACAAAGGUUUCCUCUGAACGGUUAGAAAUCGUAUCUAGAGUGUAAAGGCAUAAGGAAGCUUGACUGUGAGACCUACAAGUCGAGCAGGGACGAAAGUCGGUCUUAGUGAUCUGACGGUACUGAGUGGAAAGGCCGUCACUCAACGGAUAAAAGUUACUCUAAGGAUAACAGGCUGAUCUCCCCCAAGAGUUCACAUCGACGGGGAGGUUUGGCACCUCGAUGUCGGCUCAUCGCAUCCUGGGGCGGUAGUACGUCCCAAGGGUUGGGCUGUUCGCCCAUGAAAGCGGUACGCGAGCUGGGUUCAGAACGUCGUGAGACAGUUCGGUCCAUAUCCGGUGUAGGCGUUAGAAUAUUGAGAGGAGCCUUCUUUAGUACGAGAGGACCGAGAAGGACAUACCUCUGGUGUACCAGUUAUCGUGCCAACGGUAAACGCUGGGUAGCUAUGUAUGGAGUGGAUAACCGCUGAAAGCAUCUAAGUGGGAAGCCCACCUCAAGAUAAGUAUUCUC